AUGCCAUCAUAUGCCCUGCCCAUUCCUAUGUGCAUGGGGGCAGAGCAACAUCGGGGCUUCCUCGAAUCCAGUACAUUGGCUCCUCUCAUGGACUACGACAUGUUGUCGUCACUGGCGCCACCGCCGCUGCUGCCUGCAACUUCUUUGUACCAGAUGCAUGCCAUCGAGGCCGGAUCAUCCAUGAUGGGUAGUGUGGCGCUCCCAAUGAUGAACAACCACUACUUUGGGAACCACCACCACCAGUUGAUGGUCGCCCAGCCACAGUCGUCGAUGUCAUUCAACAACCACACCCAGCAGCAACAGAUGAUGCAUAUGAGUGCAGACCAGGGCUUCAUGGUCGGGGUGGAUCCUAGGAGCGGUUCAUUGUGCAUAGUGUCACAGGAGGACGUUAUGACUGGCCCGAGCAACAACAACGAUGGCAAUGGUGGCGCAUCAACGUCCAACGAGAUGUCGUCGGUCAACAUGGGUAUGGAUGACAUUUGGAACUACUAA
rnacentral:rRNA from 1 species